UCCUUCCCUUCCCUUCCCUUUUCUUCCUUCCUUCCUUCCUUUCCUCCUUCCUUCUGCUUCCUCCCUCCCUCCCUCCUUCCUUCCUUCUUUCCUUUCCCCCCUUCUCUCUCUCUCUUUCUUUUCUCUCUAGACUCUUAUUUUGAAAUGCCUUAAAAGUCUAGCUAUCCUGAACUGCCGUAAAGGAGAGACUACGUAGAAAAUACAGAUGCCUAAAUAGUUGCAGCUCUUUUAGCUUUCAGCUACUUAAUUCUUCCCAGCCUGGACGCAGACUUGUUUCCAAGAACCUAUGAAGGACCUUAAGUGAGGACUACACCUACACCUACAAUCCUCCAGCUCCCUGGGCACGGCAGAAGGGGAAACUAUGGCUCAGAGAAAUUGAGUGACCUUCUCAAUGUCACAUAGAAGGAAAGUGUCAAAACCUGGAUUUGGAGACCUGGGAAAGAUGGGAAGAACUGUCUGUUGGGUGUAGGGGGAAGCAGGACCUGAUGCUGGAAGGGAGAAGAAGAUAACCAUGCUAAAUGAAGAAAACUGACCACAAGAAUUCCAGUCCAACAGAAAAUAUAAGUGAAUAGGAUUAUUUACUUUGGAAUCCUCUCUCUUUCUUUACUGGAAUGCUUUGUCACAGAGAAAAAUCACAUAAAGAGCUGCAAACUAAAAAACAUAAAAAUUUGGCCAGCUGCAGUGGCUCAUGCCUGUAAUCCCAGCACUUUGGGAGGCCAAGGUGCGUGGAUCACUUGAGGUCAGGAGUUUGAGACGAGCCUGGCCAACAUGGUGAAACCCUGUCUCUGCUAAAAUACAAAAAUUAGCUGGGCGUGGUGGUGCGUGCCUGUAAUCUCAGCUACGCAGGAGGCUGAGGCAGAAGAAUCGCUUGAACCCAGGUGGCAGAGGUUGCAGUGUAGCCAAGAUCGCGCUGCUGCACUCCA